CCUACGGGAGGCAGCAGUGAGGAAUAUUGGUCAAUGGCCGAGAGGCUGAACCAGCCAAGUCGCGUGAAGGAAGACGGCCCUACGGGUUGUAAACCUCUUUUAUCAGGGAACAAAGCGAGUCACGUGUGACUCAUUGAGUGUACCCUAAGAAAAAGCAUCGGCUAACUCCGUGCCAGCAGCCGCGGUAAUACGGAGGAUCCGAGCGUUAUCCGGAUUUAUUGGGUUUAAAGGGUGCGUAGGCGGCCUGUUAAGUCAGCGGUAAAAGCCCGGGGCUCAACCCAGCCGAGCCGUUGAAACUGGCGGGCUGGAGUUGGAGAGAGGUACGCGGAAUGCGUGGUGUAGCGGUGAAAUGCUUAGAUAUCGCGAAGAACCCCGAUUGCGAAGGCAGCUUACUGGCUCCACACUGACGCUGAGGCACGAAAGCGUGGGUAUCGAACAGGAUUAGAUACCCGUGUAGUC
rnacentral:rRNA from 1 species